GAUGAUUGGGUAAAAUUCUGAUCCUGUAGACUGGGCUCCAGACAUGGUGGAGUAACUGGAUUGACAAGUUCUUCAUAAGAAGACUUUCCCUUUGCCUUCAAACCCUUUCUUCUUAUACAGACCGUGGACAGAAAAACCUCUCUUCUCUGCAAGCUUAUGCUAUCUUUAGUAAUGGAAGAGGACAUCACACUCUUGAUGACUGCACUAGUAGGGAGUCACCUAUAACAGCUUCAGCAACGCAAAAGACAGACAGAUACACAGAGAAAGCUGUGG